AAAUAAGUUUAUUUAUUGUUGCUCUUCUGUGAUGAGAGGGCAUUGAUAGCUUUCCUUUGACAUAUCUUGAUGAUGCAGAUUGACUCCUUGAUUGUUGGUCUUUUCGAAAAUAGCAGCUUGAUUAAUCAUCUUACAAGAUCUUCGAUGCUUCUUGUCCGCUUCAAUCUUCCGGAUUGAAUAUGCCGGACUUGAUGGAUUCCUUAAGUUUAGGCUUUGUUGAUACAUUCCAUCAUAAUUGUCGAUUGAUUUCGUGAUGUUUGCUGGCCUCGAAUUGGUUUCCUUAUGUUUCCUGACUGAUUGCUCCCAUAUUGUA
rnacentral:lncRNA from 1 species